GAGUCUGAGGACAUUACUGGAGGGUUCGGAUCUCGAACCUGGGGCCUUGAAGAGGCCCGCGCUUGGGGUUUUUAGGCAACAGCAGGCCUCCAAGCAGAGUCCUGGUGUCCCGGACCGAAUCACUCCCCGAGAGACGGGCAAGGAGAUGGACCGCCAGCCAGGAAUAAUGGGAACCCUUCGCUUGGCAAACGAUAGUUUCCAAACUUAAGGUUGUGGAUGAAACUUUUUGGUGCGGCUGCUGCAGGAGCCCCAGCCCCGGGGUGCUGCUGACCCGAGGCAAGGGAGCCGGCGCACUCACGCUUAGCCGCUAAGGAGUCUGCGGUGUCGGCGAAAGCUCCGGACAUGAUUUUGGAAGGUCGUAGGUUAAGGGGUGUAGACUUUGGGUUCCCCUGUGUUGUUAUGCCCCUUUGAUGGGGGUGAGGUGGUGAGGGGGAGCAAUAGGGUGGAGACAGGCAAUAGUUUCAGUCAACAGGAAGUGGGUUGUUGGUCAUUCCGUCGCCUUUGUAGCCAGUAACAAAGCACGAGACUGAAAUGGGCCCCUCCUAUCCUCUGCUGAUCCUUAGCUUCCGGGAUUUCUGAAAAACAUCUUUUUUUUUCCUCUUACACUGAAGUUUCUGAUUGCUCCUUACGGCUGUCCACUCAAUUAUAGAGCCAUAAUUUUCAGUUUUCCAGAUUCACAGUGCCUGCCGUCAGUUGCUGCAAGCUGCAUAGUGGUCCUCUAAUGAUCUUUAUGUCUAUGCUCAUGCCAGGGUAAUCUUAGCCUUUUAUUGUGCCGAAGACCCCUUUGGCAAUCUGGUGAGGCCUAUUUCUCAAGCAGUGUUUUAAAAUGCAUACAAUGAAAUAGAUAGGAUUACCCAGGAAAUAAAUUAUGUUUAAAUGCAGUUAUCAAAAAUACUAAAGGCAAUUUUGUUAUAUAGCAGGAGCUUUACGUGUGUGUGUAUAGUUACAGGUGUACUUCUUUUGCAUUAAAUAACAGGAGCUAGGGCCAAGGCUAAUAAACUACCAUAACUUCAAAAUAGUGAAGAAUAUAAUUAUUUGGAGAUAGCGGUGAAAACUGCACUACGAUGAACUGAUUUUUAUUGGUGACAUAACAGCAUAACUACCCUGGUUUUUGCCUACAUUCAUACUUGAUGUGAAAAAAAUUAAGAGGUUUGUAUCUUUUUUCUACGGAAGUUUUUGAACCCCUUGGAUUCUGUCUAUGGACACCAAGUUAAGAAUACCUGGUAUAAAGGAAAGCCUUAUGCAUGCGGUUUCCAACCCACAGAAUUUCAGAGAUCCUCCAUUAAGUCUCAAAAAUUAUUCUUAUGGCUGUGCAAUGGUUUCAGCUGAUUCCUUGAUCAUUUAUUCAGUCCAUAAGUCUUACACAAGCAUGUUCUCUUUAGUGCAGAGGAAAAAGAAAAGUUGAAUGUUUUUCUUCUUAUUCCCAACUGUUUACAUUACCUCUAGAAAAGAAUUUCAAAUUAACACAGACGAAAACAGAAUAACAAACUCGCAGAAGACAUUCAGUAUAGAGCUUAUAGUGAUAGAACAGAAUGGCUCCCAGUUUCAAGUGAACCAUAGUCCAAUCACUUCAUUUUAUAGAUGAAGAAACAAAGUUAACUGACUGUCAUGGAUUACAAAACAGGUUGAUGAAAACACGGGAUUUGUCUUCUCACAAUCUCUCCCCAGUAUGUUCUACCACACCAUGUGCAUGACUUUGCCAGAGUAUCACCCAAUGAAUAAAUGGGGAAUGAACAGUUUAUUAUGAAACCUAGGUGGCAGACUUUUUAUUAGACUGCCGUAACAAUGUUCUUUAGAUUUUUCUUUUCCUUUCCUUUUCUUUUUCUUUUUUGACACAGAGUCUCACUCUGUGGCCCAGGCUGGAGUGCAAUGUCACAAUCUCGGGUAACUGUAACCUCCGCCUCCCGGGUUCAAGCAGUUCUCCUGCCUCAGCCUCCCGAGUAGCUGGGAUUACAGGUGCAUGCCACCACACCUGGCUAGUUUUUGUAUUUUUAGUAGAGACGGGGUUUCGCCAUGUUGGCCAGGCUGGUCUUGAACUCCUGACCUUAGGGGAUCCACCCACCUCGGCCUCCCAAGGUGCUCAGA
rnacentral:lncRNA from 1 species